rnacentral:rRNA from 1 species
AUGGCGGAUGCACCUCUGUACAAGCAGCGCCACAGGUACACCAGGGAGCUCCACGACGUCGACCUCCACGGCAACCACAAGCUCCACGUCAUUGGCACAAGCAAGGGUGAAGACGUGGACAAGAUGUUGUCCACGCUCAGUAGGAAGCUCGGCGGAAUGCCCGUCAAACUAGUCGGCAUUGAUGUCGAGUACACGCACUACGUGAAGCCACAGCGGGCAGGAGUGCUCCAGCUAUGCGUAGAAAAAGAAUGCCUUGUCUACCACAUCUCUACAGCUAAAGACAGGCCAAUGGAACUAGACAAAUUCCUCAUGAAUGGUGAGUACACCUUCGUCGGAUUCGCCAUUGAAGGAGACAAAAGCAAGCUGAAGCUAUCUGGUUUGGAGAUCAACUCCGACAACUACAUUGAUAUUCAGGUGGAAUGGAGAGACCCAUACAAUAAAAAGAAGUUUGACUCUUUGGCUGAUGUUGCCUGCAGGAUGAUAGACAUUCACUACCAUGACAUGAAGAAAAAAAUUAACAGCAAAGAGGACCAUACUCUGUGGGGAUUUUGCCCGCUGCCAGAAAAGCUUAUCAAGUAUGCAGCAAUAGAUGCAUUCGCAACAUUUGAGUCAUGGAGAAUCAUCUAUGAUGUCAUAAUGGGACUGGACAGGGCAAAAAGAGACAAAGAAGCAAAGAAGAAGAAGAACAAGGCUGUAAUCCAAUACAGCAACUAG